rnacentral:lncRNA from 1 species
AUUAUCGUAUUCGUGGGUGACGGAGACAACCCCAAGACCAUGGGCUAUGUGGCAGGUGUUUACUUUCAUCUCACAACCAUUGCUGAUAUUACGUUUGAGCAUAAUCUUAGGGAGGCAAACGCAAUGGCGGGCUCUUUAGCUGAAUUUGUGGUGGAUAGGAGUGGGACGUUUAAUGCAUGACGGUGAUGAUAGAGGCCCCUGGUAUGUACCUAUGUCUCCACGGUUCAAUCUGAUACUUAUUGAUACAGCUGUGUU